GAGUCGUUCUGGAGACGGAAGGUGCCUUUUAUAGCCUGCUACGAUGCAGAGCUGAUAAGCAGACCUGUCUCGCAAGACAACGAGGGCGUUUCAUUUUUUUGUCGUCCGUUUGAGUUGUUUGGGGCAAUGUGGUGAGAUUCCAGAACCCCAGUGUCGGUUAAGAAGGCAAUGACGCGUUUAUCGCAUGAGCCUAGUGCGACAGCUUCUGGUUUGGCGAUUGAGCGGAGAAAUCCGCGAGUUCAAUCCAGAAGCGAGUACAGCCGCCUGAGCCAAGUGUCUUAGUCCGUGACCUUUGUGUCCGGUUGACCGCCAUGAGCUGAAAAAGUGCCAUGAGCAAAGAGCGAGUGAUUGUGCCGGCUGAAAAAUGUCAGAGCCACCUCCGUGCCUUGUGAGAGUUCCUGUGGACCGCAUGUGCAGCCGCCAGAGCAAAGAGCCAGAGCCACUGAGCGCGAGCCACCGACAGUGAGAUACUCAAGGGUGAAAUUCCUUUUGAGAGACUCCCAUCAUUCUCACAGGUGAAACUCCUGUGAGAGAGCCGCCUAGAACUGAAGAGCCAAGCUGAAAUGCCAGAGCUGCCAGUCGCUGAGGAGCCAGCUGAAACGCUGAGCUGAGACGCAUUACUAGAGCAAAGAUCUGCUUUGACAGACGCCAUAUAUAUGGUCAAAAGAGCAACAGAUGCCUGAGUAAGAGCCAAUAAGACCCACUGAGGCAAUGAGUGCCAACCAGAGCCACAAAAGUGCCUGAGCUGUUACGCCGGUCACCAAAGCUGAAAUGCCAGAGUGGGAGCGAAUGCCAGAGCCGCCUAAGAGCAUAGCCACUAAGUCCAAAGAGCAAUAAGAGCAUCUACCAGAGCCAGUAAGUCCAGAGAGCAAUAAGAGCCGCCAAAUGAGAGCGAACCCCAAAGCCAGUGAGUCCAGAACGGCAAUAAGAGCUGGGUCGCAAUUUAUGAGCCAGUAAGUCCUGAACGGCAAUAAGAGCCAUUCGCCUGAGCAGUGCCAAUGAGUCCACAGAUGCCAUAAGUGCCCAAAAGCCAGAGCCGACGAGAGCCGAAGGAGCCAGGGCCAUAGAGCCGAGGCCAGCCAGUUGCCAUUAAGUCCAAAGAGCAGUGAGAGCCAGAGCAUGAGCCAAAGUCACACACUAUUCAAGGAGUAGGCGGCGAACCUCUUAGCCAGAGGAUGUAACUGACCGAACCUGUUUAUCUAGUUUUGAGAGGAGUAGGUGAAAAUCCGAACCUCUUGGGUUAAUAAAUCAUGGACCAUAGAGUCCCACCCGAUAUUUCAGGUGUAGAAUGAGAUUGUAGUUGUAGCAAGAUACAAAGAGUGGUUCUAGGA
rnacentral:misc_RNA from 1 species